AUUAUGUUUUCAUGGAUAGCAUUUAUCUAUGAAUGGAGAAAAAAUCUUACCCAUCUAGGAGGUGGGUAAGUGAUUUUCCCAUCAAUUGAAUUUUUUUUGUUUCAUUCCCAAUAUACCCCUAAUCCUAUAUAAUGAUUUAUUUAUAUAAUAUAAUAUAAUAUAUAUGAAACAUAUAUUAUCUAUAUUUAUGAAUAUAUAUUAUAUGAUAUUAUAUAUUAUAACAUACAAAAUAUAAAAUAUUAUAUUAUAUUAUUAUAUAAUAAUAUUUAUACGAUAAAGAAUAUUAUAAAAAUUAUGGAUAGAUCUUGACAAUUUAUAUAAGAAACUAGUAAUGCAAAAAAAUAUGGAUAAUAAAUUUUCAAACCAUUUUUCAAUACAUAAAAGAGCAUUGAUAAAUUAUUUUCUGAUCUAAAUGUUGCCACUUAUUUAGAAAAAUACAGAUUAUUACAUAAGUUUUUUUAUCCUCAAAAGAACAAGCCCUUAGGAUUUGUGCAAGUGGAUAGAUGAAAGAGGAUAAAGCACUUUAAGAUUUAUGCAAAUGAAUGAAUUACAAAAGAAGUGCUUUGAGAUUUAUACAGAUGAAUGAAUGAUAGAAGAUAAAAUAUUUUGAGAUUUGUAAGGAUCAAUACUAGAGGAUGAAGUGAUUUGAGAUUUAUGCAGUGGAUGGAUGAUAAAGAAUGUAGCACUUUGAAAUUUGUGUAAAUAGAUGAAUGAUAGAUGACAGAACACUUUAAGAUAUGUGCAAGUGGAUGAAUCAUAGAGGAUAGAGCAUUUUAAGAUUAUGUGAAAGCAAUGAUUAGAUCUCUUUGAAUUAAGGGUACUUUGAAUUUUUUUCAACGAUAUUAGGAUCUAAAUAUAGGGGUAGCAAUUGAGUUGGGUUGGAUGG
rnacentral:lncRNA from 1 species